GCUAGCUCAGUUGGUAGAGCAUGAGACUCUUAAUCUUAGGGUCGUGGGUUCAUGCCACAAGCA
rnacentral:tRNA from 1 species